rnacentral:rRNA from 1 species
CAGCACCUCAAGUGGUCAGGAUGAUUAUUGGGCCUAAAGCAUCCGUAGCCGGCGCUGUAAGUUUUCGGUUAAAUCUGUACGCUCAACGUACAGGCUGCCGGGAAUACUGCAGCGCUAGGGAGUGGGAGAGGUAGACGGUACUCGGUAGGAAGGGGUAAAAUCCUUUGAUCUAUUGAUGACCACCUGUGGCGAAGGCGGUCUACCAGAACACGUCCGACGGUGAGGGAUGAAAGCUGGGGGAGCAAACCGGAUUAGAUACCCGAGUAGUUC